rnacentral:rRNA from 1 species
GAUGAACGCUGGCGGCGUGCCUAAUACAUGCAAGUCGAGCGAACGGACGAGAAGCUUGCUUCUCUGAUGUUAGCGGCGGACGGGUGAGUAACACGUGGAUAACCUACCUAUAAGACUGGGAUAACUUCGGGAAACCGGAGCUAAUACCGGAUAAUAUUUUGAACCGCAUGGUUCAAAAGUGAAAGACGGUCUUGCUGUCACUUAUAGAUGGAUCCGCGCUGCAUUAGCUAGUUGGUAAGGUAACGGCUUACCAAGGCAACGAUGCAUAGCCGACCUGAGAGGGUGAUCGGCCACACUGGAACUGAGACACGGUCCAGACUCCUACGGGAGGCAGCAGUAGGGAAUCUUCCGCAAUGGGCGAAAGCCUGACGGAGCAACGCCGCGUGAGUGAUGAAGGUCUUCGGAUCGUAAAACUCUGUUAUUAGGGAAGAACAUAUGUGUAAGUAACUGUGCUCAUCUUGACGGUACCUAAUCAGAGAGCCACGGCUAACUACGUG